AAAAACAUGUCUUUUUGAUUUUAAUUUAAAGUCUAAUCUGCCCACUGAUUUAUUAAAGGGCUGCAGUAAUUUGACUGUACAAAGGUAGCAUAAUCAUUAGCCUUUUAAUUGAAGGCUUGUAUGAAAGAUUUGAUGAAAUAUAAACUGUCUCUAAUUUAAAAUUAAAAUUUAAUUUUUUAGUUAAAAAGCUAAAAUAAUUUUAAAAGACGAGAAGACCCUAUAGAGUUUUAUAAUUAAUAAUUUUAAAUAAUUAUAUAAAAUUUUAAUAUUUAAUAUUAUUCAUUAUUUUAUUGGGGUGAUAAAAAAAUUUAAUUAACUUUUUUUCUUGUUUAUCAAAAAUAAAUGAUUAAUUGAUCCUGUUUAAAGAUUAAAAGAAAUAAUUACCUUAGGGAUAACAGCGUAAUAUUUUUUUUUAGUACAAAUAAAAAAAAAAGUUUGCGACCUCGAUGUUGGAUUAAGAUAAAAUUUAAAUGCAAAAGUUUAAAAUUUUGAUCUGUUCGAUCAUUAAAAUCUUACAUGAUCUG
rnacentral:rRNA from 1 species